GAUGUAGAACGUAGCGAAAUGCGAUAAGUAAUGCGAAUUGCAGAAUCCGUGAGUCAUCGAAUCUUUGAACGCACAUUGCGCCCUUUGGUAUUCCGAAGGGCAUGCCUGUUCGAGCGUCAUUAUCACCACUCAAGCCCGGCUUGCUGUUGGUGGCAGCGCAGCCGGUCAACCGGCUACGCUCCACCCAAAGAUAAUGACGGCGUCUGCGAGGACUCCUGUACAUUGAGCUUUCGGGCACGUACAUGGCUAGAAGUCCAGGCGCCGGUCGACGUCCUCCGGGACACUUUUUACCAAGGUUGACCUCGGAUCAGGUAGGGAUACCCGCUGAACUUAAGCAUAUCAAUAAGCGGAGGA
rnacentral:misc_RNA from 1 species